CAAAAUAUAGCUUAAUUAAAGCAUUUCGCUUACACCGAAAAGAUAUCUGUGAAACACAUAUUAUUUUGA
rnacentral:tRNA from 2 species